rnacentral:lncRNA from 1 species
UUUCCAGGUCUCCUUUACAUGGAAGGAACAUUAAGAAAAGUGAGUCUCAUCCUCAUUUGUUGUAUUUUAAUGGAUUUUGUAAGCAAAAUCAUUGUGCGCGCAACAUUUCUGUUUCUCUAGGUGGCUGCUUGUUCCAGCCCAGCAAGCAGGAGCCACUGUGUCUGAAAAGAGGGGUCAUUGAACCAAUUAAACACUUGUGUGAAGCCUCAAUGAUCCCCGACACAUGGAACUACAAAGGAAAGAGAGUGAAAGACGUCCGCUUCGAUGCAAAAGGUAGAUUACCCCGAAACAGCUACACGGAACUGGUUGAUUAAGCUUUUUUGCUGCACUUUUUUUUAAUGUAGGCUAUUCUGUACAUAGCCUACAUGUCAGGGUGAGGACAUUAGACGUAGCAUAAUUAUUGUACAUUGUUGGUUCUCAACAGAGCCUGACAAUGACUGUGUUGUGAGCCACAUAAUCAGAUUGAGAGAAAAACUGGGCUGGUCCACUGAGAUUCCUGACAGGAGAAUAGCAAAAGCAUGCCCACAAAAUAUACAGGAAAUCCCUGAGGAGACUAAAAAGGAUCCUGGAGAGUAUGUGUACUGUCUGAUGAGGAACAGAGGUGACCUCAAGAUCCAGCCCAACCCCUAUGAUCUUCAGGUGGUUUCUGUCCAGACAGCUAAACAGAGCUGUCAGUACUGGACCGUUAGCGCUUCAUGCAUAUUCAAGGUCAGUUCAACUAGUUCACCGUUGAAUUAUUAAACGUUGGUUGAAAAUACAUAGGGUGCGUUAGUAAAUUCACUCUGGCUAUCUACUCUGAUUUCAGAGCACUAUCGUCUGAGUGUACCAGAGAGCAGAAUAACGGAUGAAUUUACGAACACUCAACACCCGUUGAAUAUGGCCGGUGUCAGUAAACGUCGGCAAAAAAGUGUAAUUAAAAUGUUGCCAGCAGAACAGUUCCUGUCACCAACGCUCUGGAUAACAUGAAAAUAGCUUAACCAGCUCUGCUAGGGCGAGUAAAAUGGUCAGAGUGAGAUUUUUCUCGCAUUUGUGUCUGGAAGUAGCUAGCAAGCUAGCCAACGUUAGCCAGUUAGCUUGGGUGCUUGACUGCCGUUGUGAGGACAGAACGUUCGGAUCAAC